ensembl:snRNA U1 U1 spliceosomal RNA
GUACUUACCUGGCAGGGGAGAUACCAUGAUCACGAAGGUGGUUUUCCCAGGGCAAGGCUUAUCCAUUGCACUCGAAUGUGCUGACCCCUGCGAUUUCCCCAAAUGUGGGAAACUCAACUGCAUAAAUAAAAGUUAAAAAAUGAAAAAAUUUUUAA